rnacentral:rRNA from 1 species
UGGGGAAUAUUGCACAAUGGAGGGAACUCUGAUGCAGCGACGCCGCGUGAACGAAGAAGGCUUUCGAGUCGUAAAGUUCUUUUAUAUGGGAAGAUAAUGACGGUACCAUAAGAAAAAGCCCCGGCUAACUACGUGCCAGCAGCCGCGGUAAUACGUAGGGGGCUAGCGUUGUCCGGAAUCACUGGGCGUAAAGGGUUCGCAGGCGGAAAUGCAAGUCAGGUGUAAAAGGCAGUAGCUUAACUACUGUAAGCAUUUGAAACUGCAUAUCUUGAGAAGAGUAGAGGUAAGUGGGAUUUUUAGUGUAGCGGUGAAAUGCGUAGAUAUUAAAAAGAAUACCGGUGGCGAAGGCGGCUUACUGGGCUCAUUCUGACGCUGAGGAACGAAAGCGUGGGUAGCAAACAGG